AAACCAUGAUGGGGACAAAGUCUAAGCAUUUCUUUAAAACGCUCCCACACAUUGUAAAGAGAUUCCCCGUCUUCUUGAGUGAAUUGGUAAAGUUUUUCCCUUAGUUG
rnacentral:snoRNA from 2 species